rnacentral:rRNA from 1 species
UACGUAGGGGGCUAGCGUUGUCCGGAAUUAUUGGGCGUAAAGAGCUCGUAGGCGGUUUGUCGCGUCUGCUGUGAAAUCCCGAGGCUCAACCUCGGGCCUGCAGUGGGUACGGGCAGACUGGAGUGCGGUAGGGGAGAAUGGAAUUCCUGGUGUAGCGGUGGAAUGCGCAGAUAUCAGGAGGAACACCGAUGGCGAAGGCAGUUCUCUGGGCCGUAACUGACGCUGAGGAGCGAAAGCGUGGGGAGCGAACAGG